rnacentral:rRNA from 1 species
CGGACGGGUGAGUGAUGCCUAGGAAUCUGCCUGGUAGUGGGGGACAACGUUUCGAAAGGAACGCUAAUACCGCAUACGUCCUACGGGAGAAAGCAGGGGACCUUCGGGCCUUGCGCUAUCAGAUGAGCCUAGGUCGGAUUAGCUAGUUGGUGAGGUAAUGGCUCACCAAGGCGACGAUCCGUAACUGGUCUGAGAGGAUGAUCAGUCACACUGGAACUGAGACACGGUCCAGACUCCUACGGGAGGCAGCAGCC